GACGAACGCUGGCGGCGUGCUUAACACAUGCAAGUCGAACGGAAAGGCCCUGCUUUUGUGGGGUGCUCGAGUGGCGAACGGGUGAGUAACACGUGAGUAACCUGCCCUUGACUUUGGGAUAACUUCAGGAAACUGGGGCUAAUACCGGAUAGGAGCUCCUGCUGCAUGGUGGGGGUUGGAAAGUUUCGGCGGUUGGGGAUGGAGUGGCGGCUUAUCAGCUUGUUGGUGGGGUAGUGGCUUACCAAGGCUUUGACGGGUAGCCGGCCUGAGAGGGUGACCGGCCACAUUGGGACUGAGAUACGGCCCAGACUCCUACGGGAGGCAGCAGUGGGGAAUAUUGCACAAUGGGCGGAAGCCUGAUGCAGCAACGCCGCGUGCGGGAUGACGGCCUUCGGGUUGUAAACCGCUUUCGCCUGUGACGAAGCGUGAGUGACGGUAAUGGGUAAAGAAGCACCGGCUAACUACGUG
rnacentral:rRNA from 1 species